rnacentral:rRNA from 1 species
GUCUCUUGGGACACGAUGAGCAUGCCAAAAUAUAUGGGAGGUUUGGGUUUCGAUUUUGAAAUAUUUAAUAUGGCUCUUUUGGGAAAGCAAGCGUGGAGGGUACUUGAAAAUCCUGGAUCUCUAAGUGCUCGAAUUCUUAAAGCAGUUUACUUCCCUGACAGCGAGUUUAUAAUGGCAGAGCUUGGUGGACACCCGUCCCAGAUUUGGAGAGGCGUGAUAGAGGGUCGUGACACUCUGAAACUUGGCUUGAUCCGACGGGUGGGUAGAGGAAACACCAUUGAUAUUUGGAAUAUGAACUGGAUUCCCCACAAAGAGAAUAUGAGACCUAUAGUGGCGAGAGUUAAUGACCCACCACAUUUGGUGGCGAAGCUAAUUGAUCGAGGAAAUGCGUGUACCGCCCCGGAUACAACUUUCCAUAUUCGUAACUCCAACUCUUGCCUUUUCCGUAGAUGCGAUAUGAUAUUUCCUUCGUGGUUGGGUUUUGUCUUUUGUUUUGCAUUUUGUUCAUGUCAUGCAUUUCAUCUCAUAGCAUCAUGCGCAUUGCAUCUGCAUGUUUUCAUAAAGCUUGCAUCCGUUCGUAGUUGCCACGUUCCCCCCUUGCCUUCGUUAUCCCUUUUGAGAGCAACCGUUCAUUUGUUGUCCGACCGUUUGAGCCUCUCUGCACACCCACCAACCACCUCCGCAACCUAG